rnacentral:SRP_RNA from 1 species
CCAUGCUAGGUGGGAAAUUAGCGAUGUCCUGUACCUGCAAUUCGCUACAGCAGGACUGAAUUCCCUAUCGCGGAUUGCUUUUUGUGCAGACUGCCCCGAACAAGUGAUGUUGAUAAUUGGGUCCUACGCAACAAAACCUUGCGAACCGUGUCAGGUCUUGACCGAAGCAGCACUAAGUGAGACCUUUUGUGUGCCGUAUGGGUAGCCUAAUUUGAGUUAACUAUUCGGGUACCGUGUAUGAUAGUAAUACAACAUAGGGUGCAUGG